GACUGAGUGGUGUAAUGGUUACAUUGUCGCCAAAGAUUGAAAUCUCGUCUGAAUCUUUUAUGGUGAUGUUGUGGGUUCAAAUCCCACCUCAGUCA